rnacentral:ncRNA from 1 species
GCAAUAGUAAUCCUGAACAGUACAAGAGCAACUGCAGGCUCAGACACUGGGUGUCUGUGCUUGGCUGAGGAGCCAGUAGUGUGACACUCCCAUCUGUGGGAUUAUGACUUCACACCUUUUAGUCAGACCUUCCAGAAAGGU